rnacentral:tRNA from 1 species
UGGAGAGAUGGCCGAGCGGUCGAAGGCGCACGCUUGGAAAGCGUGUAUAUGGCAACAUAUCGGGGGUUCGAAUCCCCCUCUCUCCGU